rnacentral:ncRNA from 1 species
CUAGGAGCUGUCGUCGCGUUGACGCUGGAUGAGUUUGGAAUAUUUUGCAAAAGAUAAAGAGAAUUGUGAUGCAUGGAAAUUUAUAAUUCUGCGGAAACUCUUCGUUGCGAGGUUGACACUGGAUGCGCUUCCACGUCCUCGAAUUCAGAGAAGAAGCGGCGAUGCGGUGGGGUUCUACAGGGCUGAAGAAGAAGAGCUAAACGCUAUUUUUUUUGUGAAAAACCCAAAAUUUCUGUUUUCAAAUGUGAAAAAUAUAUUUGGUUUAAGCGGUAUUGCUCUUCGAUGAUAGUUGAUUGGCCUGAACUGAGAAUACCAGGUCCUGUAACGAGUUACAUAGAGUAGCGAAGACCGUAAGAAAUGUAAGAAAUGCAGAUAGGGUUAGAUGCGCAGCCAAGAAAUGGAAAAACACGCGAUAACUAUUCUUAAACCGGGUGGGUUUCAGUCUGUAUAAAUAAGGAAUAAAUAAAUAAGGAAAAGUAGAUUUCUACGAGCGUGUGGCCAAUGCCAUCUUAUUUGUGACGAGCACGAGUUGAUUAACGAGAUUCCCACUGCCCCUAUCUACUAUUUUGUGAAACAAGAGCCAAGGGAACGGGCUUGGCUGAAAGAAGAACCCGUUGAGCUUGACUGUAUUCCGACUUUGUUGAACUAUUUGGGGGGUGUAGCAUAGGUGAGAGUUUCGGCGAGCGUGAAAUACCACUACCCUCAGUCUCGUUCUACUUAUUCCGUCAAGUUGAAAAGCAUGCUCGGCAUCUGCUUUUGCCUUAAAGCGCCAUUCUGGGAGCUGAUCAGUGCGGAAGAGACAGCCAGGUAGGGAGUUUAGCUGGGGCGGCACCGCUGUGAAGCAAUAGAGCAGGCGUCCUAGUGCAUCGCACAACAGUAGAAGUGUAAGAUACUGGAGCGCUACUGAUACAGAUGAAUCUGCGCUGCAAAAUUAGCCGUUCGUGGUACUUGAGAAACUCGAAACGUGGCUAGUUCCAGCGCCAGGGCAGUGGCAGUGCA